rnacentral:rRNA from 1 species
UACGGAGGAUGCGAGCGUUAUCCGGAUUUAUUGGGUUUAAAGGGUGCGUAGGCGGGCUUUUAAGUCAGCGGUAAAAAUUCGGGGCUCAACCCCGUCCGGCCGUUGAAACUGGGGGACUUGAGUGGGCGAGAAGAAGGCGGAAUGCGUGGUGUAGCGGUGAAAUGCAUAGAUAUCACGCAGAACCCCGAUUGCGAAGGCAGCCUUCCGGCGCCCUACUGACGCUGAGGCACGAAAGUGCGGGGAUCGAACAGG